rnacentral:rRNA from 1 species
UGCAAGUCGAGCGGCAGCGGAAAGUAGCUUGCUACUUUGCCGGCGAGCGGCGGACGGGUGAGUAAUGUCUGGGAAACUGCCUGAUGGAGGGGGAUAACUACUGGAAACGGUAGCUAAUACCGCAUGACCUCGAAAGAGCAAAGUGGGGGAUCUUCGGACCUCACGCCAUCGGAUGUGCCCAGAUGGGAUUAGCUAGUAGGUGAGGUAAUGGCUCACCUAGGCGACGAUCCCUAGCUGGUCUGAGAGGAUGACCAGCCACACUGGAACUGAGACACGGUCCAGACUCCUACGGGAGGCAGCAGUGGGGAAUAUUGCACAAUGGGCGCAAGCCUGAUGCAGCCAUGCCGCGUGUGUGAAGAAGGCCUUAGGGUUGUAAAGCACUUUCAGCGAGGAGGAAGGCAUCACACUUAAUACGUGUGGUGAUUGACGUUACUCGCAGAAGAAGCACCGGCUAACUCCGUGCCAGCAGCCGCGGUAAUACGGAGGGUGCAAGCGUUAAUCGGAAUUACUGGGCGUAAAGCGCACGCAGGCGGUUUGUUAAGUCAGAUGUGAAAUCCCCGCGCUUAACGUGGGAACUGCAUUUGAAACUGGCAAGCUAGAGUCUUGUAGAGGGGGGUAGAAUUCCAGGUGUAGCGGUGAAAUGCGUAGAGAUCUGGAGGAAUACCGGUGGCGAAGGCGGCCCCCUGGACAAAGACUGACGCUCAGGUGCGAAAGCGUGGGGAGCAAACAGGAUUAKAUACCCUGGU